rnacentral:rRNA from 1 species
GAUGAACGUUGGCGGCGUGCCUAAUACAUGCAAGUCGAACGAAGACUGUAGUAAUACUGUCUUAGUGGCGAACGGGUGAGUAACGCGUGGGUGACCUGCCCCGAAGUGUGGGAUAACAGUCCGAAAGGAUUGCUAAUACUGCAUAAUAUCCAAGAGAUUAGAUGCUUUUGGAUUAAAGGAGUAAUUCGCUUUGGGAGGGGCCCGCGUCCCAUCAGCUAGUUGGUAAGGUAAUGGCUUACCAAGGCGAUGACGGGUAGGGGACCUGAGAGGGUGGCCCCCCACAAUGGAACUGAAACACGGUCCAUACACCUACGGGUGGCAGCAGUAGGGAAUAUUAGUAAUGGGCGAAAGCCUGAACUAGCAACGCCGCGUGUGCGAAGAAGGCCUUCGGGUCGUAAAGCACUUUUUGAGAGGAUGAGGAAGGACGGUACUCUCAGAAUAAGUCUCGGCUAACUACGUG